GUGGGGAAUAUUGGACAAUGGGCGCAAGCCUGAUCCAGCAAUGCCGCGUGAGUGAUGAAGGCCUUAGGGUUGUAAAGCUCUUUUACCCGGGAUGAUAAUGACAGUACCGGGAGAAUAAGCCCCGGCUAACUCCGUGCCAGCAGCCGCGGUAAUACGGAGGGGGCUAGCGUUGUUCGGAAUUACUGGGCGUAAAGCGCACGUAGGCGGCUUUGUAAGUUAGAGGUGAAAGCCUGGAGCUCAACUCCAGAACUGCCUUUAAGACUGCAUCGCUUGAAUCCAGGAGAGGUGAGUGGAAUUCCGAGUGUAGAGGUGAAAUUCGUAGAUAUUCGGAAGAACACCAGUGGCGAAGGCGGCUCACUGGACUGGUAUUGACGCUGAGGUGCGAAAGCGUGGGGAGCAAACAGG
rnacentral:rRNA from 1 species